rnacentral:rRNA from 1 species
UACGCAGGUGGCGAGCGUUGCCCGGAAUUACUGGGCGUAAAGCGUGCGCAGGCGGCCCGUUAAGACAGGUGUGAAAUCCCUGGGCUCAACCUAGGAAUUGCGCUUGUGACUGGCGGGCUCGAGUACGGUAGAGGGGGGUGGAAUUCCUGGUGUAGCAGUGAAAUGCGUAGAGAUCAGGAGGAACACCGAUGGCGAAGGCAGCCCCCUGGGCCUGUACUGACGCUCAGGCACGAAAGCGUGGGGAGCAAACAGG